GUCUCAGGUGACACAGCUGUAAAAUGCUCAGCCUGAUUUCUCCCUUAAAGACUGUUAAAAGGAAUUAAAUGAGACAAUGUGUGGCUCAACACAAUGCCCAAUCAUUUAAAGGCACCCAAAGUAGCCAUUAUGAGAACAGUUACCAUGGCUCUACUAAACUUACUAAAUCUAUAGUCUGUGCCUUCUGGGGCUACACAUAAAUAGCGAAUCGCCUUCUACAGCCUGGGAGUGAAGAAAUCCCACUCGGCAGUUUCCUUUUCUCACUGAUGUACC
rnacentral:lncRNA from 1 species